GACGAACGCUGGCGGCGUGCUUAACACAUGCAAGUCGAGCGGUAAGGCCCUUUCGGGGGUACACGAGCGGCGAACGGGUGAGUAACACGUGGGUGACCUGCCCUCAGCUCUGGGAUAAGCCCGGGAAACUGGGUCUAAUACCGGAUAUGACUCCAUGACGCAUGUUGUGGGGUGAAAAGCCUUGUGCGGCUGAGGAUGGGCCCGCGGCCUAUCAGCUUGUUGGUGGGGUGAUGGCCACCAAGGCGGCGACGGGUAGCCGGCCUGAGAGGGCGACCGGCCACACUGGGGACUGAGAUACGGCCCAGACUCCUACGGGAGGCAGCAGGUGGGGAAUCUUGCGCAAUGGGCGAAAGCCUGACGCAGCGACGCCGCGUGAGGGAUGACGGCCUCGG
rnacentral:rRNA from 1 species